GAUGAAGAACGUAGCGAAAUGCGAUAAGUAAUGUGAAUUGCAGAAUUCAGUGAAUCAUCGAAUCUUUGAACGCACAUUGCGCCCCUUGGUAUUCCGAGGGGCAUGCCUGUUCGAGCGUCAUUAUAACCCCUCAAGCUUAGCUUGGUGUUGGGGCCUGCUGUAAUAGAGCAGCCCUUAAAAUCAGUGGCGGUGCCAUUAGGCUCUAAGCGUAGUAAUUCUUCUCGCUAUAGGGUUCUGGUGGAUGCUUGCCAUUAACCUCUAAUUUUCUAUGGUUGACCUUGGAUCAGGUAGGGAUACCCGCUGAACUUAAGCAUAUCAAUAAGCGGAGGA
rnacentral:misc_RNA from 1 species